rnacentral:rRNA from 1 species
GACGAACGCUGGCGGCGCGCCUAACACAUGCAAGUCGAACGAGCGAGAGAGAGCUUGCUUUCUCAAGCGAGUGGCGAACGGGUGAGUAACGCGUGAGGAACCUGCCUCAAAGAGGGGGACAACAGUUGGAAACGACUGCUAAUACCGCAUAAGCCCACAGCUCGGCAUCGAGCAGAGGGAAAAGGAGUAAUCCGCUUUGAGAUGGCCUCGCGUCCGAUUAGCUGGUUGGUGAGGUAACGGCCCACCAAGGCGACGAUCGGUAGCCGGACUGAGAGGUUGAACGGCCACAUUGGGACUGAGACACGGCCCAAACUCCUACGGGAGGCAGCAGUGGGGAAUAUUGCACAAUGGGGGAAACCCUGAUGCAGCGACGCCGCGUGAAGGAAGAAGUAUCUCGGUAUGUAAACUUCUAUCAGCAGGGAAGAU